GGUGGCUCAGUGGUAGAGCGCUUGCCUGGCAUGCAUGAGGCCUGGGUUCAGUUCCCCAGCACCA
rnacentral:tRNA from 1 species